rnacentral:rRNA from 1 species
UACGUAGGGUGCGAGCGUUGUCCGGAAUUAUUGGGCGUAAAGAGCUCGUAGGCGGUCUGUCGCGUCGGUCGUGAAAACUUGGGGCUUAACCCUGAGCUUGCGGUCGAUACGGGCAUGACUGGAGUUCGGCAGGGGAGACUGGAAUUCCUGGUGUAGCGGUGAAAUGCGUAGAUAUCGGAAGGAACAUCAGUGGCGAAGGCGACUUCCUGGACCAAUACUGACGCUCAGGUGCGAAAGCGUGGGGAGCAAACAGG